rnacentral:rRNA from 1 species
AUUGAACGCUGGCGGCAGGCCUAACACAUGCAAGUCGAGCGAGCGGCGGACGGGUGAGUAAUGUAUGGGGACUGCCCGAUAGAGGGGGAUAACUACUGGAAACGGUAGCUAAUACCGCAUACUAUCGGAUAACCCAUAUGGGUUUGGCUAGUUGGUGCGGUAAUGGCUCACCUAGGCGACGCUCCCUAGCUGGUCUGAGAGGAUGAUCAGCCACACGGGGACUGAGAAACGGCCCAGACUCCUACGGAGGCAGCAGGGGGGAAUAUUGGACAAUGGGUGCAAGCCGGGUGCAGGCAUGCCGCGGGUAUGAAGAAGGCCUUAGGGUUGUAAAGUACUUUCAGCGGGGAGGAGUUACCCGAAGAAGAAGCACCGGCUAACUCCGUGCCAGCAGCCGCGGUAAUUC